CAAUAAGCGGAGGAAAAGAAACCAACAGGGAUUGCCCCAGUAACGGCGAGUGAAGCGGCAACAGCUCAAAUUUGAAAUCUGGUCCCCAGGGCCCGAGUUGUAAUUUGCAGAGGAUGCUUUUGGUGAGGUGCCUUCCGAGUUCCCUGGAACGGGACGCCAUAGAGGGUGAGAGCCCCGUCUGGUUGGAUACCGAGCCUCUGUAAAGCUCCUUCGACGAGUCGAGUAGUUUGGGAAUGCUGCUCUAAAUGGGAGGUAUAUGUCUUCUAAAGCUAAAUAUUGGCCAGAGACCGAUAGCGCACAAGUAGAGUGAUCGAAAGAUGAAAAGCACUUUGAAAAGAGGGUUAAAUAGUACGUGAAAUUGUUGAAAGGGAAGCACUUAUGACCAGACUUGGCCCCGGUGAAUCAUCCAGCGGUUCCCGCUGGUGCACUUUGCCGGGGUUCAGGCCAGCAUCAGUUCGCUCCGGGGGAUAAAGGCUUUGGGAAUGUGGCUCCCUCGGGAGUGUUAUAGCCCAUUGCGCAAUACCCUGUGGCGGGCUGAGGUUCGCGCUUUAUGCAAGGAUGCUGGCAUAAUGGUCAUCAGUGACCCGUCUUGAAACACGGACCAAGGAGUCGUCUUCGUAUGCGAGUGUUCGGGUGUUAAACCCCUACGCGUAAUGAAAGUGAACGCAGGUGAGAGCCCUCCAGGGCGCAUCAUCGACCGAUCCUGAUGUUCUCGGAUGGAUUUGAGUAAGAGCAUACGGGGCCGGACCCGAAAGAAGGUGAACUAUGCCUGUAUAGGGUGAAGCCAGAGGAAACUCUGGUGGAGGCUCGCAGCGGUUCUGACGUGCAAAUCGAUCGUCAAAUAUGGGCAUGGGGGCGAAAGACUAAUCGAACCUUCUAGUAGCUGG
rnacentral:rRNA from 1 species